GUUCAGCAUGCAGAUCCAUUUUCUGCCACCGAAUACAUUAGCAUGGGAUAAUGGAAUAGGACCCUGUCCUCCUAUUUUCAGUUGGUUUUGGCAGCGCGAGGACUAGGGUAAUGAUUAAUAGGGAUAGUUGGGGGCAUUAAUAUUUAAUUGUCAGAGGUGAAAUUCUUGGAUUUAUGAAAGAUUAACUUCUGCGAAAGCAUCUGCCAAGGAUGUUUUCAUUAAUCAAGAACGAAAGUUAGGGGAUCGAAGACGAUCAGAUACCGUCGUAGUCUUAACCAUAAACGAUGCCGACCAGCGAUUAGGAGACGUUGAAUACAAAACACCACCAUCGGCGCGGUCGUCCUUGGCGUGUCUCGGCUUCACGGCUGGGGCGCGCGAGGGCGGUUUAGCCCGGUGGCACCGGUGAAUGACUCCC
rnacentral:rRNA from 1 species